UUUAUCGGAGAGUUUGAUCCUGGCUCAGGACGAACGCUGGCGGCGUGCCUAAUACAUGCAAGUCGAGCGGACAGAUGGGAGCUUGCUCCCUGAUGUUAGCGGCGGACGGGUGAGUAACACGUGGGUAACCUGCCUGUAAGACUGGGAUAACUCCGGGAAACCGGGGCUAAUACCGGAUGGUUGUCUGAACCGCAUGGUUCAGACA
rnacentral:rRNA from 1 species